ensembl:lncRNA
ACGGUUGGUGAUGUAAUUGUUGAAGACGAUCUCAAAGUUCCUCAGCUGGGGGCUGUUGUCGUUGGCGUCGCGCAGGCGCACGUGGACGGUGGCACGGCUCACCAGCGGGGCCGAGGUGGCCUGCACCACCAUGAUGUACUCUGCUUUGGCCUCGUAGUCCAGGUCGGCCAAGGCGGUGAGCUCCCCAGAGAAGAUGUCCAGCUGGAAGACCUCGGGGAUGUUGCCCUCCACGAUCUGGUACAUGAUCUGCGCGUUGGGGCCCUCGUCGGGGUCGGUGGCGGUGAUGCGGGCCACCACCAGCCCGAUGGGGCUGUUCUCCUCCACGAAGAUGUCAAACUCAUCGCGCUCAAAGACUGGAGGGUUGUCGUUGACAUCCAGCACCGUCACCUGGAUCUCCACCGGCGUCCGUCUGGCUGGCACGCCCUUGUCAACAGCAUAUGCCCGCAGGGCGUAGAGUGGCACGUUCUCCCGGUCCAGGCGGCGCAAAGUGCGCACGAUGCCCGAGGUGGACUCAAUGAUGAAGUCGCCGUCACCAUCGUCACCGCCCUGGAAGGUGUAGAAGACCCUUCCGUUGAGCCCCGAGUCACGGUCGGUGGCCGAGACCUGGAGGACGCUGGUGAAGGCGGGGACGUCCUCGUAGACGGAGCCCUGGUAGGAGUCGCGGAGGAACUGGGGUGCGUUGUCGUUGACGUCGCUCACCAGGAUCUCCAGGUAGGUGGUGUCGGACUUCUGUGGGAUGCCGUUGUCACGGGCUGUGAUGGCCAAUGUGUAGGACACCUGGUCCUCGUAGUCCAGCUCCAUCUGCGUGGUGACAGCCCCCGUGUCGGGCGCGAUGCGGAACUGCGGGAUGCUGUCCUCCAUCAGGUAGGUGAUGCGGGCGUUCUCCCCCGUGUCCUCAUCCGUGGCACUGAUGACCACCACCGUGGUGCCCACCGGCCGGUCCUCGUUGACAUUGACGGUGUAGUGGGAGCUCUGGAAAACGGGGCGGUGCGUGUUGGCGUCGGUGACGUUGACCACCACCUGGGCCGUGUCCUGGCGCGUGCCAUCGGAGGCGGCGACGGUGAGCAGGUAGUGCCGCUCCAGCUUGUAGUCCAGCGGCAGGGCGAGCGAGAGGAGCCCCCCGCCGCUCUGGCUGGUGAUGGAGAAGCGGUUGCGGGUGUUGCCGCUGGAGAUCUGGUAGGUGAUGACGCUGUUGGCGUCGCGGUCGACGGCGGAGACGGUCAGCACGCUGGUGCCCACUGCCGCGUCCUCGUUGAGGCGGGCGCUGUACUCGCGCUGCGUGAACUCGGGGCUGUUAUCGUUGACAUCCAGGAUGGUGACGCUGACGCUGGCCGAGGACGCCAUGGGGGGGCUGCCCUGAUCCUGCGCCUCCACCCCGAAGCUGUAGAAGUCCACCGCCUCCCGGUCCAGCUCGGAGGCCACCACGAUCCACCCGGUGCUGUUGUUGAUGGCGAAAGGGAAGCCGGCGCCGGUCUCCAGGAGGGUGUAAGCCAGGCGGGCGUUGUCCCCUGAGUCGGCAUCGAUGGCUUGCACGUGGAUGACGGAGUAGCCCACGGGCACGUUCUCCAGCACGGUGGCCUGGAAGGGAGUGCUGACAAAGAUGGGCGCGUUGUCGUUGACAUCCAACACCUGCACGGCGACCAAACCGCUGAUGUUGGAGAGCGGCGGCCGCCCGCCGUCCUGCGCACGGAUGCGCAGCGUGAAUUCCUUGCUGGCCUCGUAGUCCAGCGGGGUGACAACGUCCAGAGCGCCCGUCUGCGCGUCGAUGUAGAAGUGGCCUCGCGUGUUGCCGCUGACGAUGCUGUAGUGCACCACAGCAUUGCUGCCCUUGUCACGGUCGGUGGCCGUCACCCUCAGCACGGCCGUGUUGGGUAGCACGUCCUCGGGGACCUGCACCACGUAGCGCUUCUCGCUGAACUGCGGCGCGUUGUCGUUGUCGUCCUCCACCGCGAUGCGCACCGUGGCCGUGGCGCUGCGGGGUCCCGGCUCCUGGCCCUGAUCCGCGGCUUCCACCAGCAGCUCGAACGCCUCCACGGCCUCCCGGUCCACGGGGCCGCGGGUGCGGAUGACGCCGGAGCGCGGAUCGAUCUCGAACACCUCGUUGGCACCGCCGGCGUUCAGCAGCCGGUACAGCACGUUGGCGUUGGGGCCGGCGUCGCCGUCGGUGGCGCGCACCGUCAGCACCUCGUAGCCGACCUCCAGGUUCUCCCGCACGCUCUCGCGGUACUCGUGCUGCUCGAAGGCCGGGUCGUGGUCGUUGGCGUCGCUCACCGUCACCGUCAGCGUGGCCAUGGCGCUGCGCCGCGGCGUGCCGUGGUCCACCGCGGUCACGCGGAACACGUGGCUGCUUUUGCUCUCGCGGUCCAGCGGAGCGGCCGUGGUGACGGCGCCGGUAUCGGGGUCGAUGGCGAAGAGCGCGUCGGAGCGGCUG